GAUGAACGCUGGCGGCGUGCUUAACACAUGCAAGUCGAGCGGAAAGGCUCCUGCUUGCAGGGGUACUCGAGUGGCGAACGGGUGAGUAACGCGUGGGUGAUCUGCCCUGCACUUCGGGAUAAGCCUGGGAAACUGGGUCUAAUACCGGAUAGGACCACAUUUUGGAUGGUGUGGUGGAAAGUUUUUCGGUGUGGGAUGAGCUCGCGGCCUAUCAGCUUGUUGGUGGGGUAAUGGCCUACCAAGGCGUCGACGGGUAGCCGGCCUGAGAGGGUGUACGGCCACAUUGGGACUGAGAUACGGCCCAGACUCCUACGGGAGGCAGCAGUGGGGAAUAUUGCACAAUGGGCGCAAGCCUGAUGCAGCGACGCCGCGUGGGGGAUGACGGCCUUCGGGUUGUAAACUCCUUUCGCUAGGGACGAAGCGCAAGUGACGGUACCUGGAGAAGAAGCACCGGCUAACUACGUG
rnacentral:rRNA from 1 species